UCAUUAGUGGGAGAGCCCAUGCUGCACUUCUUUUCCUAUUUUUGAACCUUUUUCCUCCCAUCUUUACAUGACCCACAAAUCAAUCAUUCAAGGUGGGCCCCACACCCCUUAAUCACAUAUCUAAUGGUGGUGAUCAUUUUCUAUCAAUGACCAUUCGACACGUUCGCAUAAAUUCCUUUCCUCCCUUCCCAUUACCUUCCCUUACCUCUAUCCAUGGCUUGUAAGCAUAGAGAUUCUUCUUCUUCUUGUCUUCUUGUUUAAGGCUAAUCAGUGUUCCUCCUAUGAUCGCCAGCUGGCGAUAACGGAGUCUUCGGUAAAAAGGGAAAGUUUUUCUUCGGUGGAUUUCUCUUGUUCUUAUUUAGUCUCUUUCGUUUCGGAAGUUGUUUCUAUUUCUAUACUUGUCUCGUCUUCUUAUAUAUCGUAUGUUUGUUUCUGAGGUUUCUUUCAGUUUCUUAGUGAUAAUAACGGCCGCAUAUGAUUUAAAAAAAUAUAUAUAUAGAUUAUAAUUCAAAGGCCGAGAUGAAUCUGUAAAAGAAAGAGAGAGAGGUGAGUGACUAUCAUCCGUACUCCUGGCGGCGGUGGCGCAAAACAAGUGCACCUCUCUAGUGUGCUCUUGUUAUGUCCCAUCUAGACAUAACGACGACAACGACAACGAAAACAAAAACAAAAACAACAGCCAUGAUCUUCCCUCCAAAGGGCCACCCAAUUCUAGUUAUGAAGCAAAGGGUCCACAAGUUGAGAGGAAGGAGAGUAUUGGUGUUGGUGGUAAAGUAGGAGAUGGGCCAUCCUCAAUCACAUUAGAGGGGCCACCCCUCAAGAGCAAUCUUAAGAAAACAACUAUAGUGGAAGAAUAUCAGCUGAGGAAUGGAGGGAGGAAAGUCAGCUGGCCUGAUGCACAUGGGAAAGAUCUUGCUCAUGUUCAAGAGUUCCAAUCAAGUGUUUUGGAGGAAGGCGAGCUUGAGGGAGUGAGAAAUUCUUGCAUUUGUGUUAUCCAAUGAGGUCCAUCAAAUGGAGCCGUGUCGCAACUUCCAAGUCAUGAGUCCAAUGCCAACUUACCUGCCGCCUCCAUCAAUCAUGGAGAAAGGUCUCUUGUGCAUGUUUGGAGCAGAAUGGAAGAAGAGACACCUAACAAGGCUUGUGGUAGCAACAAUGCAAGGAGAUGACUAGAAGCAUGUGUUUACUCGGGAGAGUAACUAUUGACAAAUCGCGUUCCGGCAAGUGGAUAACAACAAAUUACAAUUUGCUAACCUUCCAAGUGAUUUAGCAAUUCAGGAAUUACAUGGAGAAAUAUUCCUCUCUUUGAAGAAAUGAUGAUUCCAAGCUGACAAUUUCAAAUUCGAUUUUCACUUGGCCUUCUCUACUUGCAAGGGUCAUGCUAGCUGCAUCUUAGAACUUCUACUUGCUUAUGCCGCCAUGCCAUUUGGGAUCUAUCUGUGUGUGUUGCCUCAUGCCCAUAUGUAGAGAUUGCCACAUAAUCAGAACCAUCCAUCUUCCAAGUGCUUUUUGGAAUAAUCUAUGAUACAAUGAUCGCUUAAAAGAAUCAAAGCCGACCAUUGAUUUUUGGAGUUGAACCUAUUGAUUGCGUUGCAUCCCAUCUUGGGCCAUGUUUACAUGUGGGGCACUAUGGAGCAACAAAUGUUGGUGAUCAUGAGUCACGAUAUGGGCAGAACGAAAAAACAUGGCAACUGGUUUGUUUUUUUUUUUUUUUUUUUUUUAAGACAUGGCAUUUAGUACAAUUCAUCCAGUGGAACCCACUGAACUGGAUAACACUAACAAUCCAAGCCGUUAACUCGGACAGAGCUUCAUUGGCCCCACCAAACGAACAACUGAUUGAGUGGAGACAUCAUAUGGAAGAAAGGUUCUCUAUUGAUUUAAACGUAAUAUUCAUG